rnacentral:lncRNA from 1 species
CCAGCAUUUGGGCUGGACAGGGUUCUCCAGGCUUGCUAACUACAGCAGCUGUUUUCUGUCCCCAGUAAGAGCCAGGGUGACAUACCUACCUGCCCAGAGCCACCCUUGACAGGAGACUCAGGGAGAAGUGCCCCCAGGACCAAAGCACCUGCCCAGCCCACUGGAAGAAGGAAGCUUACAAUUCUGUAUGCUUGGAACCCACCAAAGCCUGAGGCCUCACUGGCACCCAGCCAUCCACAGGAGUUAGCAGCUGUUUGAGUCCAGAAGGAAGAACUUUUGGAGUCGGAGGUGGGAAAGAUAGAAAUUGCAUCCAAAUUAUCACAUUCCCAGAACCCUCUUUUGGCCCUGUAAGUUAUUCCCAUAGCCAUUGAUCAUGCAAUAGCCUGGAUGAAAAGAGUAGAGCUGGAAUGAAUAGCUACAGUCCUG